CGUACAUUGAUGAUUUAUGAAG
rnacentral:miRNA from 1 species